UACGUAGGAGGCAAGCGUUGUCCGGAAUUAUUGGGCGUAAAGAGCUCGUAGGCGGUUUGUUGCGUCGGCUGUGAAAUCCCGAGGCUCAACCUCGGGUCUGCAGUCGAUACGAGCAAACUAGAGUGUUGCAGGGGAGACUGGAAUUCCUGGUGUAGCGGUGAAAUGCGCAGAUAUCAGGAGGAACACCGGUGGCGAAGGCGGGUCUCUGGGCAACAACUGACGCUGAGGAGCGAAAGCGUGGGGAGCGAACAGG
rnacentral:rRNA from 1 species